UAAUACGUAGGUGGCGAGCGUUACUCGGAAUUACUAGGCGUAAAGGGCAGGUAGGCGGUUGGGCAAGUCCGUAAUGAAAUCUCCCGGCUUAACUGGGAGGGGUUUAGGGAUACUGCUUGACUCGAGUUUGGGAGAGGUAACUGGAAUUCCUGGUGUAGCGGUGAAAUGCGUAGAGAUCAGGAGGAACACCUAUGGCGAAAGCAGGUUACUGGACCAACACUGACGCUGAGCUGCGAAAGCUAGGGGAGCAAACAGGAUUAGAUACCCUGGUAGUCCUAGCCAUAAACGGUGUAGACCAGAGGUGGGGGGUAUCGACCCCCUCCGCCCCGAACCUAACGGAUUAAGUCUACCGCCUGGGGAGUACGGCCGCAAGGUUG
rnacentral:rRNA from 1 species